GAUGAACGCUGGCGGCGUGCCUAAUACAUGCAAGUCGAGCGAACAGACGAGGAGCUUGCUCCUCUGACGUUAGCGGCGGACGGGUGAGUAACACGUGGAUAACCUCCCUAUAAUACUGGUAUAACUUCGGGAAACCGGAGCUAAUCCCGGAUAAUAUAUUGAACCGCAUGGUUCAAUGGUGAAAGUCGGUUUUUCUGUCACUUAUCGAUGGAUCCGCGCCGCAUUAGCUAGUUGGUAAGGUAACGGCUUACCAAGGCUACGAUGCGUAGCCGACCUGAGAGGGGGAUCGGCCACACUGGAACUGAGACACGGUCCAGACUCCUACGGGAGGCAGCAGUAGGGAAUCUUCCGCAAUGGGCGAAAGCCUGACGGAGCAACGCCGCGUGAGUGAUGAAGGUCUUCGGAUCGUAAAACUCUGUUAUUAGGGAAGAACAAAUGUGUAAGUAACUAUGCACGUCUUGACGGUACCUAAUCAGAAAGCCACGGCUAACUACGUG
rnacentral:rRNA from 1 species